CAUGUAGUAACGCGUUGUCAGUUGCCGUUCUGAAGCGUAUUAGGCGUACCACGCGAUGCAUAUCUCUGGUUACAAAGGUUCGAUAGAAUUCAACGAGACAUACGAAGAACUGAUGGAAACUCAAGGAAAAAAAUUAACACCGAUUAAGGAUACGUUGAUAAGUUGUUGAUCAAGCUGUCAUAAAUUGCAAAUGAUAAGUGAAAAAUUGUGAAUCGUUCUCAGAAUUGAAUGAAUUACAAUUACGUAGGUAAUAGCAUGAAGUUUUUCACCUCCAAGAACCGUAAUGAUACCCGUGCCUCGCUUCUUGCCAUUUCAAGCAGGAUUUUUACCGAUUUUGAAGAAAGCUGAAAUCAAUGUAUUCAGACGUUAUUCCGAAGUAUACAUGACGAGAGUAAAUGGUUGUACGUGGUCCCGAGUUGCUACAAUUAACUCCUAAAAGGGUUCAACUAAACAAAAAAGAAAAUUUCAUCAUAUCUUCGCAGCUGUUGAUUCUACGAUGUCCUAUUUAGAGUCCAUUAAAUCGAUACUGAACGGAAAAAAUUUGUGGCUUAAAUAAUGCUAGAAUUAAUUCUUUAUUGCGCUAUAUUGACCUAAUUUUACGACAAGAAUAGAUGCGCGUAGUGUACAGUCGCUGCGACAACAGACAACGUACAGGUUGUGCCGACAAACGCACCGUCUUGCAACCCGCUGCCUGCACAUAUCUCACACAGCUACGUAAGACAACAUAAGAGUGUCGGGCUAUUUUUAAGUUUCAAACUAAAUAUUAGGAUUAACAGCGUUAAUUUUGAGUUACGCGAGUAAAAUCAAAAUUUACAACAAAAAAAUUCCUAAUUCAAGAUAUUAAUGAAAUAAAAUUUUUCUAAUUAUCAAAAUGAAGAACUGAUUCUUUACUCAAUGUUUCGAAUGAAGGGAAUGAAAACAAAUCCUAAUUUGGUUUUGGAUAAAAAAAUGAAAAAUAAUACUUAUUUCAAGGUCUUGAAGUACGAAAAGAGAAUCACUCAUAGAAAUUUUGAAAUCUAGAAAUAAACAAUUCUCAAUUGAUGCUUUAGUUCUACAUUCCGGAAGGUACGGGCUUGCCUAUCAAAGCUAAUCUAUACUUUCUAUGCAAUGGAGACUUAAAGCCCGUAAAGUUGAUGAAUAAAUAAAUGAACAAAUUAACAAAUGAAAAAAAAUACUUCCGACGAGCGGCUGUCGAACGCACGGGUUAAACUAGACCUUCAACUAAACGGACUCGUGGUCAACGCGGAAUUAUAUGUCAAAUUUUGGUACUUCUACUUUUCUUCUAGUGAAACUACCUUCAAGAACCGAAAUUAUUGUGUGUUGUCGAAACUUGAGCAGGAAAGUUACAUUCCAACUUCUUUUUGACCAAUGAUGUCGUAUAUUCGAAAGAAAAUCGUUUCCUAUUAUCAUUAUUUUUCUUUUGAUGUAUGCAUUGUUCCUCAUAAACAGUAAACAAAAUUCGAAAAAAAAAUCUCGAUCCUGUUCGGAUGUAUGCAAUUGUCCCUUCAUGCCUAAAUCACAAUAUUAUAAUCAUAAAUCUAUAUGUAUAGUUAUUGGUUUGGUACAAAUGAUGUUCGGUCACUGUAGUAGUUAUUUUUCUAGCGUUCAUUAUGUUUAUUUGAAUAAGUGAGAGUACAAAAUUCUCCCUUCAAAUCAUUCGUUACCUGAUGAUGACCGUCGCAUUGUAUUGUAUUUAAUUUUGGUUUUCACUAAUUUUCAGUAUCUUACAUUUUAUUGACUCUAAGCGUGAGUAUCGUCAAUUCUUAUCACGCUCCGAUUAGACGAAUGAAUUACUAGUUAAUAAUUCUGGGUUUCACUUGAAAAAUGAACAUUUUAUGAACAGCAUUUGACCUCAUUAUUCGAUGAUAUGAAGAAGCGGUAAAAUAUUUUGAAUCAUCAAUUUCAACGACUGUGAUUUCAAAUUUCCUUAGAACAUACAACUUAACAAUGAAUUACAUUCAACUUGUAAUAAACCUGAUUAUUCUUUUCGUAACACCUUUGUUACCUUACUAAAUCCAGCUGUCAAGGUAAAGGUCGAAAAUUGAAUAACGUAUCCAGUGGAACGACAAAGUAUGGACUUAUUUACAAUUAAAAAUUGGAUAACGUGAAUUAGAAAAAUAAAGAGUCUUUCAACAGAUGUUUCAAAGAUUUGUUAUUUCCAGAACGCGUUGAAUGAAUUCUCGACCACUACCAUUACUCUGGCAAAUCAAAAAAGAGCAAAGUAUAAUAAUAUUUAUUUUAAUUCUUUCUAAUUUAUAUUGUAGUAGUGCAAUAAAAACAACAAAGUUUAUGAUUAAAAUUAGUACAAAUAUAUUUAUUAUCAACUAUAUAGUAUUUAGGGUUUCAGAUGAAUAUAUAUAUAAUUAUGUAAUCACACUUUGUUGCUUUUUUAUUUAAAAGAAAAUAAACAAUCUUAUAUGAUUAAUCGUAAUAAACUGGGAAUAAAAGGCGCCCGUCAAGAGUUGGUUACCAGGUUCACCUCUCCGUUCAUGAUAAUCACUUUAAUCUAUUUCCUUGAUGAUAUUUCCCAUUUUAGUAUGGAUCAGUUACAUUAUGCUUUGCAAUUUAUUACAUUUAAGCAGCAACGUUCUCUCAAUAUUCUUUUUCUCGCUACAGUAAAUGAUAAUCAUUAUGCAGCCAAUGACGAGUUAUAGAUACCCAAUACGAUAUCAUGUCGAUUGUAACGUCCGUAUUUCCAGAAUUCCUAUCAGUCACCAUUCCAGGAGUGAACGAACAAGAAAAUCGAACUCAAUUUACUAUGACGAUAUAACUGUAGUAACCGAAAAAAACAGUGGGGGG
rnacentral:lncRNA from 1 species